AGCCAUCCCGGUUUGCCUGGGACUGAGAUGGAAUUUUCAGUGCUAAAAGUGGGGGAGUUCCCUGGCAAACAGGAUGAUUUG
rnacentral:miRNA from 14 species